rnacentral:rRNA from 1 species
GACGAACGCUGGCGGCGUGCUUAACACAUGCAAGUCGAACGGAAAGGCUCCAGCUUGCUGGAGUACUCGAGUGGCGAACGGGUGAGUAACACGUGGGUAAUCUGCCCUGCACUCUGGGAUAAGCCUGGGAAACUGGGUCUAAUACCGGAUAUGACCUUUCUCCUUAUGGGGUUUGGUGGAAAGUUUUUCGGUGUAGGAUGAGCCCGCGGCCUAUCAGCUUGUUGGUGGGGUGAUGGCCUACCAAGGCGACGACGGGUAGCCGGCCUGAGAGGGUGAUCGGGCACAAUGGGACUGAGAUACGGCCCAGACGCCUACGGGAGGCAGCAGUGGGGAGUAUUGCACAAUGGGCGGACGCCUGAUGCAGCGACGCCGCGUGAGUGAUGAAGGCCUUCUGGUUGUAAACCUCUUUCAGCAGGGACGAAGCGUAAGUGACGGUACCUGCAGAAGAAGCACCGGCUAACUAUGUG